AACGCACGAGACCUGCGGACCUGCGGAAGGAUCAUUAAUGAGAAGCUGCCCCUCGUGGGUAGACCUCCCACCCUCUGUGAACUUACCUUUGUUGCUUUGGCAGGCCCGUCCUCUGGACCGCCGGCCUCGGCUGGCCCGUGCCUGCCAGAGGAUUCCAAACCCUGUCUGUCAGUGUUGUCUGAGUCUAUAUGAAAUCGUUAAAACUUUCAGCAAUGGAUCUCUAGAUCGGAAGAGCACACG
rnacentral:misc_RNA from 1 species